rfam:Corynebacterium doosanense CAT 212 = DSM 45436, complete genome.
CGACGGAGUGUGUGUAAGGACUCUGUCCGGGGCGGAUGCUCUGGUGUACUUCCCCGACAUCAGAUCCCCGCCCCGGGCAGGGCCCUAUAUGCACCCCGGACACCC